rnacentral:rRNA from 1 species
AGCGGCGGACGGGUGAGUAACGCGUGGGUAACCUACCUCAUACAGGGGGAUAACUACUGGAAACGGUAGCUAAUACCGCAUAACGUCGCAAGACCAAAGAGGGGGACCUUCGGGCCUCUUGCCAUCGGAUGUGCCCAGAUGGGAUUAGCUAGUAGGUGGGGUAACGGCUCACCUAGGCGACGAUCCCCAGCUGGUCUGAGAGGAUGACCAGCCACACUGGAACUGAGACACGGUCCAG